UACAGAGGUGGCAAGCGUUGUUCGGAAUUACUGGGCGUAAAGGGCGCGUAGGCGGCUCUUUUAGUCAGACGUGAAAUCCCCCGGCUUAACCUGGGAACUGCGUCUGAUACUGGAGAGCUUGAGUGCGGGAGAGGGAUGUGGAAUUCCAGGUGUAGCGGUGAAAUGCGUAGAUAUCUGGAGGAACACCGGUGGCGAAGGCGGCAUCCUGGACCGACACUGACGCUGAUGCGCGAAAGCUAGGGGAGCAAACGGG
rnacentral:rRNA from 1 species